GGAAGCUUGCUUCAGGCGUCGAGCGGCGGACGGGUGAGUAAUGCAUAGGAAUCUGCCCGAUAGUGGGGGAUAACCUGGGGAAACUCAGGCUAAUACCGCAUACGUCCUACGGGAGAAAGCAGGGGAUCUUCGGACCUUGCGCUAUCGGAUGAGCCUAUGUCGGAUUAGCUAGUUGGUGAGGUAACGGCUCACCAAGGCCGCGAUCCGUAGCUGGUCUGAGAGGAUGAUCAGCCACAUCGGGACUGAGACACGGCCCGAACUCCUACGGGAGGCAGCAGUGGGGAAUAUUGGACAAUGGGCGAAAGCCUGAUCCAGCCAUGCCGCGUGUGUGAAGAAGGCCCUCGGGUUGUAAAGCACUUUCAGUGGGGAAGAAAUCCUCAGGGCCAAUACCCCUGAGGGAGGACAUCACCCACAGAAGAAGCACCGGCUAACUCCGUGCCAGCAGCCGCGGUAAUACGGAGGGUGCAAGCGUUAAUCGGAAUUACUGGGCGUAAAGCGCGCGUAGGCGGCGUGAUCAGCCGGUUGUGAAAGCCCCGGGCUCAACCUGGGAACGGCAUCCGGAACUGUCACGCUAGAGUGCAGGAGAGGAAGGUAGAAUUCCCGGUGUAGCGGUGAAAUGCGUAGAGAUCGGGAGGAAUACCAGUGGCGAAGGCGGCCUUCUGGACUGACACUGACGCUGAGGUGCGAAAGCAUGGGUAGCAAACAGGAUUAGAUACCCUGGUAGUCCAUGCCGUAAACGAUGUCGACUAGCCGUUGGGGUCCUUGUGACCUUUGUGGCGCAGUUAACGCGAUAAGUCGACCGCCUGGGGAGUACGGCCGCAAGGUUAAAACUCAAAUGAAUUGACGGGGGCCCGCACAAGCGGUGGAGCAUGUGGUUUAAUUCGAUGCAACGCGAAGAACCUUACCUACUCUUGACAUCGUGCGAACUUUCCAGAGAUGGAUUGGUGCCUUCGGGAACGCACAGACAGGUGCUGCAUGGCCGUCGUCAGCUCGUGUUGUGAAAUGUUGGGUUAAGUCCCGUAACGAGCGCAACCCCUAUCCCUAUUUGCCAGCGAUUCGGUCGGGAACUCUAGGGAGACUGCCGGUGACAAACCGGAGGAAGGUGGGGAUGACGUCAGGUCAUCAUGGCCCUUACGAGUAGGGCUACACACGUGCUACAAUGGCCGGUACAAAGGGUUGCGAAGCCGCGAGGUGUAGCUAAUCCCGAAAAGCCGGUCUCAGUCCGGAUCGGAGUCUGCAACUCGACUCCGUGAAGUCGGAAUCGCUAGUAAUCGUGAAUCAGAAUGUCACGGUGAAUACGUUCCCGGGCCUUGUACACACCGCCCGUCACACCAUGGGAGUGGACUGCACCAGAAGUGGUUAGC
rnacentral:rRNA from 1 species